AAGGGAAUAAAAGCAGGCUGCCCGAAGCAGCAGUGGCAACCCGUUUGGGUCUCCUUCCACACUGUGGAAGGUUUGUUCUUCGCGAUAAAUCUUGCUGCUGCUCACUCUUUGGGUCUGCCCUGCAUUUAUGACGUGUAACACUCACUGGGAAGGUCUGCAGCUUUACUUCUGAAGCCAGCAAGACCAGAAACCCACUGGGAGGAUUGAGCAACUUUGGAUGGGAGGAACGAACAACUGCAGAUGUGCCGCCGUCAGAGCUGUAGCACCGCGAACGUCUGCGGCUUCGCUCCUGAAGCCAGCGAGAUCACGAACCGACCAGAAGGCAAAAUCUCUGAACACGUCCGAACAUUAGAAGGAACAGACUCCGGACACGCCUUUUUUUUUUUUUUUUUUUGAGACAGUGUCUUUCUCUGUCGCCCAGGCUGAAGUGUAGUGCAAUGUCGGCUCACUGCAAGCUCUGCCUCUCGGGUUCAUGCCAUUCUCCUGCCUCAGCCUCCAGAGCAGCUGGGACUACAGGCGCCCGCUGCCACGCCCGGCUGAAUUUUUUUGUGUUUUUAGUGGAGACGGGGUCUCACGGUGUUAGCCAGGAUGGUCUCGAUCUCCUGAUGUGCCCGCCUGGGCCUCCCAAAGUGCGGGGAUUACAGGCGUGAAACACCGUGCCCAGCCACUCUUUAAGAACUGUAGCAGUCACCGCGAGGGUCCGCGGACGUCAUUGAGACUGAGAACCCGCCAAUUCCGGACACAAUUUCAUAGUACAUCAGUAUGGUCCAAUACAGGUACCUCCUCAGGAAACUCUGAAAAAGAAGAAGUAGAAAUAGUAUGAGACAAGAAACAGUCAUAUUCCAAAGAAUGAAAUACUGUUACAAAUGAUGGAUCCAGAAAAUCUUAUCUGGCAACUUGCUGUUAUUUUCAGUAAGCCUGAUGAUGAAGAAGAAAGGAAAGAAGAAAAGGUAAAACUCAAGAUGUGCUAUAGAGAAAUGUCUUUAGAUAAGCAACUCUGGCUAGAUUACUUUUUAUUAAUAUUCUGCUUUUUCUGUUUGACACUGAGACCAUUUAACUCAUUCAUUCUAUGUUCUUCCUCUUUGAUCUAUUAAUACAAAUUUAUGUCCUGAAGCAUAAUUAAAAUUAAAAUAGUAAUUGAAAUUAGUUUUUACCAUGGUAUCUGACAUACAAUCAUAAUGUUCUUCUAAUAACAUUUCAUAUGAAAACACUGUUAUAUUCUAGACAUACACAAAAACCAAAACUUAAGCAGCUUUAAAAACUUCUUAUGAUAAAAUAUUUAAAUACACAAAUAUAUAAUCUAAUAAAUAAUGAUUUAUCUAUUUCCAGUUUGAACAAUAAACUCAUAUUCAAUUUU